rnacentral:rRNA from 1 species
UCCGGUGGUUCUGCGUGGAAGGGCCAUCGCUCAACGGAUAAAAGCUACCCUGGGGAUAACAGGCUUAUCUCCCCCAAGAGUCCACAUCGACGGGGAGGUUUGGCACCUCGAUGUCGGCUCAUCACAUCCUGGGGCUGUAGUAGGUCCCAAGGGUUGGGCUGUUCGCCCAUUAAAGUGGUACGCGAGCUGGGUUCAGAACGUCGUGAGACAGUUCGGUCCCUAUCCGUCGCAGGCGUAGGAAAUUUGAGAAGACCUGUCCUUAGUACGAGAGGACCGGGAUGGACGUACCUCUGGUGUACCAGUUGUCCUGCCAAGGGCAUGGCUGGGUAGCUAUGUACGGAAUGGAUAAGCGCUGAAAGCAUCUAAGCGCGAAGCCAACUUCAAGAUAAGAUUUCCCACCGCAAGGGUAAGACCCCAGAAAGACUAUCUGGUUGAUAGGUCGAAGGUGUAAGUGCAGCAAUGUAUUUAGCUUAUCGAUACUAAUAGGUCGAGGACUUGACCAAU